UACGUAGGGACCGAGCGUUGUCCGGAAUCAUUGGGCGUAAAGAGCGUGUAGGCGGCCACUUAAGUCCUGCGUGAAAUCUUGCGGCUCAACCGCAAGCGGUCGUGGGAAACUGGGUGGCUAGAGUGCGGGAGAGGAGAGUGGAAUUCCUGGUGUAGCGGUGGAAUGCGUAGAUAUCAGGAAGAACACCCGUGGCGAAGGCGGCUCUCUGGAACGCAACUGACGCUGAGACGCGAAAGCGUGGGGAGCAAACAGG
rnacentral:rRNA from 1 species